rnacentral:lncRNA from 1 species
GACUGUCCUGUCCUAUUUUCAUGAGUUAAUGAAACCUGGGAUGGGUGUAGGAUACCGAAUCCCUCAUCCACGGCUUGUCUUGCCUUCAUCCCAGUCGGAACACCCAACAAUAGGGCCGUCCUGGCCAUGUAGGGCUGGAAUUGGGCCUGUGCCGACCCGAGGCCCAUCAAGCCAAGUCGACUUUGGGUCUGGGCAGGAACGACUCAGCUUUAUGCCUCUUCUGUCCUGUUUGGGACACGCCUUUGUUUGAGAAUGAGCCAAUGAUUGGGGACUCUUGAAGCUGGGAUUUAACAUGCAUCAAUGGAAGG